CCUACGGGAGGCAGCAGUGGGGAAUAUUGCACAAUGGGGGAAACCCUGAUGCAGCGACGCCGCGUGAGCGAUGAAGUAUUUCGGUAUGUAAAGCCCUUUCAGCAGGGAAGAAAAUGACGGUACCUGACUAAGAAGCACCGGCUAACUACGUGCCAGCAGCCGCGGUAAUACGUAGGGGGCAAGCGUUAUCCGGAUUUACUGGGCGUAAAGGGCGCGUAGACGGGGGUGCAAGCCAGAUGUGAAAGCCUGGGGCUCAACCCCAGGACUGCAUUUGAAACUGUGCUGCUAGAGUAUCGGAGAGGCAGGCGGAAUUCCUGGUGUAGCGGUGAAAUGCGUAGAGAUUAGGAGGAACACCAGUGGCGAAGGCGGCCUGCUGGACGAUGACUGACGUUGAGGCGCGAAAGCGUGGGGAGCAAACAGGAUUAGAUACCCGAGUAGUC
rnacentral:rRNA from 1 species